UUUUUUAACUAUAUUUUCCUUCUUUUUUUUUAUAAUUUUAUUUCUGAACCCAGUGAUAUUAUACAAUUACAAUGUAUAUUUAUUUCUACUCUCGCUACUUCCUCUUGAAAUUAUGCAAGCUGUUUAAAUCUCUCUGGCAUUUUCAUGGAAGGAUGGGUUCUGCAGGGUGUGGGAGUGUGUGUAGCAGCCAUAUAAUUUCCUGCCUCUGCUUUCCCCUGGGGAAGGGGAGCGAAACACCGGCACCACCUGCACAUCUUGGGAGGCCCUAAGAACCUGGCACCCUGAAAAUCAGCUGAGAGGGAUGCAGCACCCCAAAGGCUGCUCUGAGGGACCUCAAAAGGGAGCUAAUUGUUCUCUGUCCUUUUGGGCUCCAGAACUGGGACUGCUUGGCGGAGAUUGCGACAGAUUUGUGUCCUUGAGGAGCUGGCAUGGGAACAGCUGGGGCACGCGAGGGAGCAGAUAAAAGAAACACCUACUGCAGGUCAGCCUUCGCUCUGUGUAUCUGGACCAAAAGCCUGAUUCUUCCACAAACACUCGUUUCACAAAACACGGCAAACAUUGCGUUAGGAAACACUGAAGAGAGCCACAAAAGUAAUCUGGAUGUAGAUCUUGCACCUGCUGUGAAGUGCCCCUGCCUGGCCAGGGCUGGGUAAGGAGGUGAGGGCUGGUGGGCAUCCCUUUAUUAUCUCCUGAUGGAAAAGUGGCAUCAGCCCCUGGACUGGCUGCCCUCAGCCUGCCUUCACCUGCCCUGUGGGAGAAAACUGCCCAUUCCUGCCUGCUAGCUGGCCUCCCCCAGGAAAAAACCUCAUUAAAAGUACACUGCUGGGAUUUUUAUAAGAUUCCAGCUCUUUCAGCGAUGAAGUUGUAAGGAAGUUGAAGUGCAGCUUGCUUAAGCUAACUCCCUGAGAAAAAAAGUUACCUGUGUGGCAAAAAAAGUUUCCAGAUCUGGGCUCUUAGAGGUAGGCUCCAAAAUCCCUUCUCAUCCAUGACCCAGGGCAGCCCUACCCAGUGCAUCUAUGGGGAGCAGAGCACAAUUUGGGGAGCUCUGCUGGCACUGAGCCCACUGAGCCCUGAAGGUUUCCAUUAUUUCUGUCAGGCUGCUAAGAGUAUUUCAUUUCCUGUGCUGGAAAUUAAGCUUGCAGCAUGGAGUAAAUGGAGGAGAGGCAAAUUGAGGCACUUUCCUCCAAGCCUCACACCUUUGGGUGCUCUGGACAUUAAAUUAGUAAUCCUUGGUGGGCUCCCUCACAUCCAUCCCAGUUUUCUCUCAUGGUUGCCUAGAUGAAAAUAACAAGUGUGCUGGUGCUGGACUAUCAUUUCUCCUCAAUAAAAUGCUGAUGAACCUCUACAAAUUUACAUCUUUUGGGCAUGCCAGUGGGUUAGCAGCAUAACAGGCCAGGAGGACGAGUAGCACUGAGAUCCAUGGCACAUUUCACCCUAUAUCUUCUUUUCUUCCUCUAGAAAUUCAGCUGCUGCCUUCAAAGUUUUUCAUAACAUUAUCCAGGACAAAUAGAUACAAACAAAUGAUACUCUGGGGGCAAAAAAUAAAAUUUUAAAAAAAUCCUAACUAGAUUAGGGAAGCAGUUUUGCAAACUAUUGAGCUUUUUGAACUUUUGAAGCUUUCCUUGACAGUGUGCAACAAGUCUUGUCUGCCCAGACAAGCAGAGAGAUCCUUUUGGUCCCUGUGUUUCCAGUGCCAAACACAGCAUUGCUGAUGCUUCCAGGACACAGCAGGUGUCCUGGGCAGAGGAAGAGGCAGGCUGGGACCAAAGUGCCUGAGGAAGGGAGACUUUCCCCCAGAGUGUGUGUUGGUCUGUAAAAGGACUGUGAGGAGUUUCUCCUUGUCUGCAGCAGGCUCACCACCUGGGAGCUCCCCUCUCUGCCUCUGCAGAAUGCAUUUCUUCCUCCAGACAGCUAAAGCAGGCUGGCUUUGGGGCUGUCAGGCUGCUGCCCCACACCCAGCCCCACAAGUACCUUGGUGAGGAGGGGUCCUCUGCCUGACCUCCAGCACUGUCCCCUGGCUGAUGGCUGUCAGAUGGGAAUAGAGCUGGGUGCAAUGCUGCUGGUUGCCAGCCCACCUGGAGACAGCUCUGUUUGUGUCUUAUCUGUAAUGGUUAAUCAUUACACUUUAUAUGCAUCCCCCUGGCAUGCACUUACUCCUUCUGGAAAUGAGUUGAGUCUCCUGAGACUGAGUAAUGGUAAAAAGGAAGAAAAACUCCAAGAAGCUGAGCUGAGCAUCUCUCAUGCCAUCUCUGUAUGCCCAGACCUUGGGUAUUUCUGAAGAUGCUGAGUCCCUGUGCUGCAGCAGGGCCAGGGAGGAGGCUGAGCACAUCAGAAAUGGAGCGACUUUCCAGAGUGUGACUCCUUGGGCAGGGACUGAUGGGGAAGGCACCACAUCCUCCCUCCAAGGCUCAGAGAUGCUGGGCAGCUCCUCUAACACUGAUCUGGUGGGGGCAAGAUGGAGUUUCAGGUCUCACUAGAGGUGUUACUUUUAACCAGCUCAUGUAUUUAGAAAGGGGAGAAUUCUGUCUAGCAGCCAUCAGUGCCUGGCUUAGGGCCAGAUGAAGAAUAAGGAAAAGAUUUUUUUAUAGUGGGGGUGGUAAAACUCUGGAACAGGUUGCCCAGAGAGGUGGUGGAUGCCCCAUUCCUGGAAACAUUCAAGGCCAAGUUGGAGGGACUCUGAGUAACCUUAUCUAAUGGAAGAGGCCCCUACUCAUUGCAGGGAGUUGGACUAGAUGGCCUUUAAAUGUCCAGUUCAAUCCAAACCAUUCUAUGAUUUAAUGAUCUUGUGAUAGGGUCUCUUCUUGGGGCUCCCCAGCCUUCUCCUGCAAGGUUUCACUGAGCAAACCUGGGUCCUGCAUGGUCCAUCCUCAGCUCCACAAUGCAACAGCUGCUCCAGCCAGUGUGCAAAGCUGCUGAAAACAUGCAAAUGCCCAUUUUUGUCCAGCUUCUUUGAGGAGCCCUGUGAAAUUGAGGAGGAAGGUGCUGGGUCCGUGGAUACCUGCUGGAUACCUGGUAGUUGUGCUGCUGGGAGUUUGAGCUCCUGCUGGGGAGCUUUGAAGGAGACACCUCCAGCUCCAGGACAAAUACAAGUUAACAGCAAAGGGGAAAAGAGUUGUUUCAGGCAAGGUGAGAAGAUUUAAAAUGUAGAAAACACUUAAGGGUUUGAGCACAGUACCACACAGCAAAAAACAUGGAUGAAGGGAUCACAGGAGAAAUCAUUACAGGGAAAAUUGAUAAUAUGGUGUGAAACAGUCCCAUGAAUUCCCAGUCCCAAACUCCCCAAUCUUGAGCCUGGUUUAAUAAUCACAGCUUAACUGUAAAGUAGGAGAAGGGCUUUUUCUCUGCACUGUGGGAUGUUCCAUAGGACUUUGGAAAUCAGUUAUGUUAUAUUUUCAAGAUUAUCAAGUCUAUAAAGAGUUUUAAAAUGUUUGAAGAUGAUCAAGUAGGAAGGAUUUGUGAAGAAUACUUGUUUUAAGGAAAAAGCUUAGUACGGCUAAAAACUUGGGAGCUAAGAAGUUCAAACACUUUCAAACUUUUCUUCUUGCUAAAAAUAUCAUCCUCCAGCUUGGGCCACAGCUUGAGUACUGGAUCCAACACCUGCAAGUGGUUUCAGUUGUCUUCCUCUUUUUUAAAACUCUUUUUGUUGCUUUUUAAUGUGCUGGUGGAUUCUGACCUAGAGGCAUUACUUUACUGUGAUGAACCAAAUACAUUCAAAAUCAUGUGUAA